CGGACGGGUGAGUAAUGUCUGGGAAACUGCCCGAUGGAGGGGGAUAACUACUGGAAACGGUAGCUAAUACCGCAUAACGUCGCAAGACCAAAGAGGGGGACCUUAGGGCCUCUUGCCAUCGGAUGUGCCCAGAUGGGAUUAGCUAGUAGGUGGGGUAACGGCUUACCUAGGCGACGAUCCCUAGCUGGUCUGAGAGGAUGAUCAGCCACACUGGGACUGAGACACGGCCCAG
rnacentral:rRNA from 1 species